rnacentral:rRNA from 1 species
UACAGAGGUCUCAAGCGUUGUUCGGAUUCAUUGGGCGUAAAGGGUGCGUAGGCGGCGAGGCAAGUCUGGUGUGAAAUCCCGGGGCUCAACCCCGGAACUGCACUGGAUACUGCUUUGCUAGAGUACUGGAGAGGGAACUGGAAUUUACGGUGUAGCAGUGAAAUGCGUAGAUAUCAAGAGGAACACCUGAGGUGAAGACGGGUUGCUGGGCUGAUACUGACGCUGAGGCGCGAAAGCCAGGGGAGCGAACGGG